UGUCUCUUGUCCCUCUGCAUUUAACCGAGAAAAUCUUUCGCCUUUUACUAAAGAUUUCCGUGCAGAGGGGCAUUUUGAGCUUACAUGCAAUUUUUGGAAGCCCACUCAAGUGGGCU
rfam:Gongylonema pulchrum genome assembly, scaffold: GPTH_scaffold0012542